AAAAGGGAAACAGCCCAGAUCGUCAGCUAAGGUCCCAAAGUGUAAGUUAAGUGGAAAAGGAUGUGGGAUUUCUAAGACAACUAGGAUGUUGGCUUAGAAGCAGCCACUCAUUAAAAGAGUGCGUAAUAGCUCACUAGUCGAGAGAUCCUGCGCCGAAGAUGUCCGGGGCUCAAACUUACCACCGAAGCUACGGGUUCACACUUAUGUGUGAGCGGUAGAGGAGCGUCGUAAUCGGGCUGAAGUCGUACCGUAAGGAGCGGUGGACUGAUUACGAGUGAGAAUGUUGGCAUUAGUAGCGAGAUGUGGGUGAGAAUCCCACAGGCCGAAUAUCUAAGGUUUCCUCAGGAAGGUUCGUCCGCUGAGGGUUAGUCGGGACCUAAGCCGAGGCCGAAAGGCGUAGGCGAUGGACAAUCUGUUGAUAUUCCGAUACCACUACUGAUCGUUAUUAUCGAUGGUGUGACGGAGAAGGAUAGA
rnacentral:rRNA from 1 species